rnacentral:rRNA from 1 species
CGAAGAACCUUACCAGGCCUUGACAUGCAGAGAACUUUCCAGAGAUGGAUUGGUGCCUUCGGGAACUCUGACACAGGUGCUGCAUGGCUGUCGUCAGCUCGUGUCGUGAGAUGUUGGGUUAAGUCCCGUAACGAGCGCAACCCUUGCCUUUAGUUGCCAGCAGUUCGGCUGGGCACUCUAAAGGGACUGCCGGUGUUAAACCGGAGGAAGGUGGGGAUGACGUCAAGUCCUCAUGGCCUUUAUGACCAGGGCUACACACGUACUACAAUGGCCGAUACAAAGGGCAGCGACACUGCGAGGUGAAGCCAAUCCCGUAAAAUCGGUCUCAGUCCGGAUUGGAGUCUGCAACUCGACUCCAUGAAGUUGGAAUCGCUAGUAAUCGUGGAUCAGCAUGCCACGGUGAAUACGUUCCCGGGCCUU